UGCUGUUUCAUACAUUAUACUGAAAGAAUAAGGAUUGGAUUCUGAAGAGAACUGCUUGCUAACCAAAAACUGCACAAACAAAUGUUCUUUGCUUCAAUGUAUUUUAGGGGCCUCCAGGUCCUCAGGGUCCUAUUGGAUACCCAGGUCCUCGUGGUGUAAAGGUAAGAUUUAAUUAUUGGAUUCCUCCUCUCACAUCUUUUGAAUAUAUGCAUCUGGGUAAUUCUUUAUAUUUUUCCUUUAGGGUGCCGAUGGUGUACGUGGACUCAAGGGAUCCAAAGGUGAAAAGGGUGAAGAUGGUUUUCCAGGAUUUAAAGGUGACAUGGGUCUUAAAGGUGACCGGGGAGAAAUUGGUCAGCCAGGUCCACGAGGAGAAGAUGGCCCAGAAGGUCCAAAAGGUCGAUCGGGUCCAUCUGGGGACCCAGGUGCUGCUGGUCCAGCUGGGGAAAAGGGGAAGCUUGGCGUACCUGGACUGCCAGGAUAUCCAGGAAGACAAGGUCCAAAGGGCUCAACUGGUUUCCCAGGAUUUCCAGGUGCCAAUGGAGAGAAAGGUGGAAGGGUAUGAUAAUUCUUUCCUGCAUAACAUUUUAUUAGCUUUUAAAAUUCAGAGCUGGGGGAAAAGACUGAUACCUAAGGAUACAAGUUACUAUCUAAAUAAUGACAAAAACAAGCUUUUCACAUUCAAGAUAGACCUCUAUCUUUAUGUAAAAGAGGACAUACUGAGGCACUGUUUGCAAUUCUUUAAGGUAUUAAUCUAAAUAUACAAGAACUUGCACUCUUUCUUGCUGCACAUACUGCCUUAAUUAUAUAAUUUGAAAAAGAGAAUAAAUAUCACCUUUGCUGAAGGGCUUGGGGUUUU
rnacentral:lncRNA from 1 species